rnacentral:tRNA from 1 species
GUUCUCUUAGUAUAAUUAAUACAAAUGAUUUCCAAUCAUUAAUUUCAAGUAAACUCUUGAAGAAAACA